GAUGAACGCUAGCGGCAGGCCUAACACAUGCAAGUCGAGGGGUAGGGUUAGCUUGCUAACUUGAGACCGGCGCACGGGUGCGUAACGCGUAUGCAAUCUACCUUGUACAGAGGGAUAGCCCAGAGAAAUUUGGAUUAAUACCUCAUAGUAUCUUUACCUGGCAUCGGGUAAUUAUUAAAGUUCCAACGGUACAAGAUGAGCAUGCGUCCCAUUAGUUAGUUGGUAAGGUAACGGCUUACCAAGACAAUGAUGGGUAGGGGUCCUGAGAGGGAGAUCCCCCACACUGGUACUGAGACACGGACCAGACUCCUACGGGAGGCAGCAGUGAGGAAUAUUGGUCAAUGGACGCAAGUCUGAACCAGCCAUGCCGCGCGCAGGAAGGCGGUCCUAUGGAUUGUAAACUGCUUUUAUACAGGAAGAAACAACUCUACGUGUAGAGUCUUGACGGUACUGUAGGAAUAAGGAUCGGCUAACUCCGUGCCAGCAGCCGCGGUAAUGU
rnacentral:rRNA from 1 species